UAAGGUGAUGUCUGGAAAAGACAUGAGGUGUCUUGCAACAACACGGUUACCCAUGCUGGACAGUGUCCGAAGAUAAUGCGGAACCCUCAAAAGUCUGGUCACAGAGGAAGUUCAUAAUUAGACCUACCUCACUCAACUAUACACAACAUUGCACGUGUCUAUAAGCUUCAGCUGGUCUGGAAGAUAACAUACAGAUCAUGAAUCAAAAAUACAGAUUGCCUUACAAAUGUUUACCUGCACUGAAAUAACAUACUUUUCUGAUAAAGCAACAUUUUUACAUGUGUGCAACAGUCAACAGACACAAUGGCCAUAUAUGGUGGAAUUAAAAUCAUCAUGAAGUUACUUAACAAAAGUGUGAUUCACCAAAGGUGAGAAUUGGUGUUUGGAGGAACACACUUCUACCCUGAAGAUGGAGGACGUAUGUAAUGUUGGUAACCAUCAACAAGAAGACUACAUGGCGUCACAACCCAGAUGAUCACAUCCUGAAAUCUCGCUACCAUAAACAUUUCAAGUCUCGCAUAGGAAACAUUUAUUUUGGAAUAUGUGAACACUAUCCCCACAUACCCAAGCAUGAUGUUGGCUGAACACCAAAACGAAUAUUACAUGCAGAGGAAAAGUU